UUAUUUAUUUAUUUUCCUGGCUUAACCUAUGAACAGGGACCUGGUCUGGUAGAAGUGGUGGCACUCAGUUCAGGAGCUUGAAGUAGCAGAAUGAGGAAGAAAUUGAACUUUUUGUGGCUCUGAAACUAUUUUCAGAGAAUGGUCUAUGAUAGUUCAUGAAAUACUUAAAGGACCUCUGGAAUGGAGAAACCAUCCUGCAUUGUCAGGGGAGCUUGAAUUACAGGAAGGUAACUAAGGAACAGGUAGCAAGACAUCCACCAAGCCUAGAGGGAAAGAGAAUUACCAUUCAGAGACACCCCAAAUCAUGAGAAACACUGACAAACUCUCCGAUUCUCCCGUGUUAUUUAUACUGGCUGACAGAAUGAGUCACAUUAUGCUACUUUUUAAUAGCUUUCUCACCUUCCUGAAAUGAAUUACAUGCUUG
rnacentral:lncRNA from 1 species